rnacentral:lncRNA from 1 species
UUAUUUGGUACGUACAAAGCGCUUUUGAGGAUUUAUCGACACCAAGAUCGCUCAAAACAAAACGAUUGAUAGCAAUAAUUUUUUAUGUCUUUGUUUGACAAAACGGUUCUGAAAGUAAUAUCCCAAACGUUCUAAUAAAUUGUAUCGAGGUUCCUGUGUUAAUCGUUCUCAGAGAGCGGAAUGAAAUAACAUGAUACUCUCUCUCCUCUCUCAGUUUAUGAAUAAUGUUAAUAAGUAAAAUUAAGUUGUUUCCCUUUGAUCGAUUUAAAAUAUACACACA